rnacentral:piRNA from 1 species
UGGUAGUUCUCUCAAAUGUGAUGUACUCUC